GGGCUGGGCUCCGGGGCCUGCGGCGCGGGCGCUGAGCUGGCAGGGCGGGUCGGGGCGCGGGCUGCAUCCGCAUCUCCUCCAUCGCCUGCAGUAAGGGCGGCCGCGGCGAGCCUUUGAGGGGAACGACUUGUCGGAGCCCUAACCAGGGGUAUCUCUGAGCCUGGUGGGAUCCCCGGAGCGUCACAUCACUUUCCGAUCACUUCAAAGUCAGACCGAGGACACGGUUGUUACCAAGACCAGGCUGUUGCCUUGGAAGAGCCCAGAGCGUGUCAAGGGAGACAGCCACAUCACGCCAGAAAUACAUGACAGCUGGAUUAGCCCUGGGAGAGGGAGGCCCAGAUGUGGGAGCUCAGGGGAGGUGCAGCUCAACGUGGAGUUUGGAGGAGGCUACCUUGACCUUUGAAUGCCAAGUGGGAGCCAGCCAGAUGAAAGGAUCCAGCGUCUGUGUGCAAUUUCGUUUUGAGAAUUCCUUCUAACCAGAUCAGGAAAGCUCUCUUACCAGGAAUAGCCCCAGGAAAGACAAUAUGGAUUAGACGUACUCCAUGAUAACUGGCGUUUUGCAUGGUUAAAAACUAAUAUUUAUAUGACAGAAGAAAAAGAUGUCAUUCCGUAAAGUAAACAUCAUCAUCUUGGUCCUGGCUGUUGCUCUCUUCUUACUGGUUUUGCACCAUAACUUCCUCAGCUUGAGCAGUUUGUUAAGGAAUGAGGUUACAGAUUCAGGAAUUGUAGGGCCUCAACCUAUAGACUUUGUCCCAAAUGCUCUCCGACAUGCAGUAGAUGGGAGACAAG
rnacentral:lncRNA from 10 species